ensembl:lncRNA
CCUCUUUAUUUGACCUUUUCAUUCAUAAUUUCACUAUCUGCACAUUGUUACAACACUGAACACGAGUCCAUAAAAAAGCAUUUCAACGUUUCUUAUGCUUAUGAAAUGUUUACACAGAAUCUCAAAAUGUCCAUCUGUCCACAAACGUUUUUGGUUGUGUAAAUUUAGAAAAUUUAAAGAAAGGGUGGCAGACUUAGAAAAGGGAGGAAGAGAGAGAUGAAGAGAUUAACCCACACAGAGACAAGCGUAGAUGCACUAGUUUGUUGUUAAAUAAUAUUUAUUUUAGAACAACCGGAUCAGCUUUACAAUCGCGACCUCAGAACCUGUCCACAUGCUCCCCCCUCGCUUUCCCUCAUGUAUUCAUCUAUCCAGUUGUACACUCACAUGUUAUCACGCACACACACAACAGAAGGUCUGGAGCCUGAGAAACAAGAGUGCUUAAAACCUAAACGUCCCAGAACCCCUGUUCUGGAAGCAAGCAGAAUUACUAUGGAGACCUCUUCACCAGACACGUGCACACACGCACACACACGCACGCACACACACACACGCACACACAUUAUCUCACCUGUACCAAAAAAGUAAUAAAUAAACAGCAGUUACACCCUCCAUCCCGCUCCUGUCAUCCCUCCAUAAUCCUCCACCAGUCAUCAUCCUCUCAUCCCAUCAUCAUCCUUCGGUCAUUCCUUCAUCAACCUACAUCUGUCGUUCUUAAUCUUCCUCAUCUCAUUUCUCUAUGCUGUCUCUUUUCCAUCAUCACUCAUCUCUGCGUCAUCCUCUCAUCCACCUAUCAUCCUUUCCCUCGUCAUCCCUUUCCUCUCAUUCGUCCAUCACACCAUCUCUCGCCCUGUAUCUACUCUCUCCAGACCUGAUCAGUAGUUUUCUGCUUAAGCUCUGUACACCUUUACGAAAAAAUCACAGCUGAAUAAAACAAUUUGAAUCAAAACAGAAUAAAUCAAAUCCAAAAGGAAUCUAGAAGAAGCACAACCGUUGAUGUCUAUUUAGUGUCCAGCGUUCUCAUCCUUAGAUUGAUUGGUAGAGGCAUAGUUUUGGGCUCAGCUCCCAUUGGCUAAUAGCCUGCAGAGAUCAGGAGGGGGCGGGACCACCACCGUGAUGUCACUGAAUCGGGAGACAUAAAGAGAGUGAGCCAGUCAAGAGCAGGCCUCCACCCUCGCUGAAAUCAUUGGGUAUACAUCCUCAAAAGUUGCAUAUGUUUUAAACUACAACAGCACGUACAGUAUCAAAAGUUUGGACACCCCUACUCAUUCAAGGGUAUUUAUUUAUUUUUACUAUUUACCCACAUUGUAGAAUAAUAGUGGGUACAUCAAAGCUCUGAAAUAACAUGUAUGGAAUCAUGUAAUACCCAAAAAAGUUUUAAACAGAUCAGAUGACAGUGGUCCAUUAUUCAACAUAAAAACCAAGAUAUUCCCCUUGAAUGAGUAUGUUUCUCCAAAAUGUUGACUGGUACUGUAUGUUGUGACACUAUUAGUUAAACUAUAUAAAUCAGUUAUUAAUGUGGUAAUAAAAUGUAUAAAUCCUUCAAUACGGCAUGUUAACCCGCUGGAUGUCUGUAGAACCAGCUGGAUGACUGUAGAGCAAGCAGAAUGACUGUAGAACAAGCAGAAUGACUCUAGAACCAGCAGAAUGACUCUAGAACCAGCAGAAUGACUCUAGAACCAGCUGAAUGACUCUAGAACCAGCUGGAUGACUGUAGAACCAGCUGGAUGACUGUAGAACUAGCUGGAUGACUAUAGAACCACCUGGAUGACUGUGGAACCAGCUGGAUGACUGUGGAACCAGCUGGAUUACUUUAGACCCAGUUGGAUGACUGCAGAACCAGCUGGAUGAC